rnacentral:rRNA from 1 species
CCUACGGGUGGCAGCAGUGGGGAAUAUUGGGCAAUGGGCGCAAGCCUGACCCAGCAACGCCGCGUGAAGGAAGAAGGCUCUCGGGUUGUAAACUUCUUUCAUCAGGGACGAAGCAAGCGACGGUACCCGAUGAAGAAGCGACGGCUAACUACGCGCCAGCAGCCGCGGUAAUACGUAGGUGGCAAGCGUUAUCCGGAUUUACUGGGUGUAAAGGGCGUGUAGGCGGGAGAGCAAGUCAGAUGUGAAAACCAUGGGCUCAACCUGUGGGCUGUAUUUGAAACUGUUUUUCUUGAGUGCUGGAGAGGCAGACGGAAGUCCUAGUGUAGCGGUGAAAUGCGUAGAUAUUAGGAGGAACACCAGUGGCGAAGGCGGUCUGCUGGACGGCGACUGACGCUGAGGCGCGAAAGCGUGGGGAGCAAACAGGAUUAGAUACCCCUGUAGUC